AGCGCUUCCAGCCAACACGGGAGCGCAGCGCACAGCUCAGUAACACGUGGCUAAUCUGCCCUUGGGACCGGAAUACCCCCGGGAAACUGGGGCUAAUUCUCGAUAGGUGAAGAACUCUGGAAUGAGUCUUUGCCAAAAAGACGUUUACGUUAUGCUCGUAGGCGUUGCCCAAGGAUGAGGCCGCGACCGAUCAGGUUGUUGGUGAGGUAAUGGCUCACCAAGCCUUUUACCGGUGCGGGCCGUGAGAGCGGGAGCCCGGAGAUGGGCACUGAGACAAGGGCCCAGGCCCUACGGGGCGCAGCAGUCGCGAAAACUUUGCAAUACACGAAAGUGUGACAGGGCUAUCCCGAGUGCCAUCCGCUGAGGAAGGCUUUUACCCAGUCUAGAACGCUGGGGGAAUAAGGAGAGGGCAAGUCUGGUGUCAGCCGCCGCGGUAAUACCAGCUCUCCGAGUGGUGUGGAUGUUUAUUGGGCCUAAAGCAUCCGUAGCUGGCUGAGUUAGUCCCUUGUUAAAUCCACCGAAUUAAUCGUUGGAUUGCGGGGGAUACUGCUCGGCUAGGGGACGAGAGAGGCAGACGGUAUUUCUGGGGUAGGGGUGAAAUCCUAUAAUCCCAGGAGGACCACCAGUGGCGAAGGCUGUCUGCUAGAACGCGCCCGACGGUGAGGGAUGAAAGCUGGGGGAGCGAACCGGAUUAGAUACCCGGGUAGUCCCAGCUGUAAACGAUGCAGACUAGGUGUUUGGACGGCCACGUGCCGUUCUAGUGCCGCAGGGAAGCUGUUAAGUCUGCCGCCUGGGGGAGUACGAUCCGCAAGAUUGAAACUUAAAAGGAAUUG
rnacentral:rRNA from 1 species